CUGGAAAAGGUCUACGCCAAGGUCCAUGGGUCCUACGAGCACCUGUGGGCCGGGCAGGUGGCGGAUGCCCUGGUGGACCUGACCGGCGGCCUGGCAGAAAGAUGGAACCUGAAGGGCGUAGCAGGAAGCGGAGGCCAGCAGGACAGGCCAGGCCGCUGGGAGCACAGGACUUGUCGGCAGCUGCUCCACCUGAAGGACCAGUGUCUGAUCAGCUGCUGCGUGCUCAGCCCCAGAGCAGUGAUAGAUAACAUUCGUUAAAAACAGUUUGUCUCCAAAAAAUGAAAGGGGCCAGGUGUGGUGGCUCACACCUGUAAUCCCAGAACUUUGGGAGGCUGAGGUGGGAGUAUCGCUGGAGCCCAGGAGUUCAAGAGACCCGCCUGGGCAACAUGGCAAGAUCUCAUCUCUACAAAAAAUGAAGGAAAAAAAUCACUUAGAUGGAACCACAUGUGACUUUUGAGUGCGCUCUCAGUUUUCCAUGAGCACGCACGGUUUACGUGUUCCCUUCCGCACCGCUUCUCACACUGCCACACACGCGCUGUCAAAUGUUCGCCCCAUGAGCGGGUUUGCCACAGUCUCUUAAUCAUUCCCCUGAUGUUGGAUAUUAAGAUCUCUCUGGUUUUAUAUAAUUAUAAGCAGUA
rnacentral:lncRNA from 10 species